UCAAUCAUACUAUGCAAACUUCGCCAUUUCAAUGGCAGCCCUAACCCGCCUGUCCAAAUCCGUUGAUUUGGGGAUUAAUUCUCCAGUAAUGACAUCGAGGUUGUAAGUGGCGACUCGGAUCUAGGAAUUAAUUCACCAACAACAACUUCGUGACUUCCCCAGAUGUUAAUAAUACAAAUUAUAUAUGUAUACACACUAAAAGCCAGCAAAAACUUACUGUUCAUUCACAGUGAAAGGCUGAAAUGCCCUUGGUUUCUUCUUUGCUUUACCCACUGUUUAUGAUUUGCUACUGUAUUAUGUCUGUUUUGUCCUUCCCGGCCAUGCGUCUUUCAUUGUUAUAUUUUCUUUCUUCGACCGCAUCUUUUUUGUUUUACCUUUCCUCUUCGUUUUUCGCCUUCGUUAGGCUGCGAUUUUCUCCCUCUUCGCCAGCCCCUCUUUUGCUCUCAAAUCCUUGAUCUUUCUUUUGUAAAAUAGUCUCAGAAGAGAUCCUGGGUUUAAUUUUUUCGGGAUUUAGUUUCUAGUCUUUUGGCAGUAUCGAAUCCUUUGUUGUUCGGCGUUUUGUUCUCAUCUUGCGAUCGUCGGGGCAGUAGCUUUAAGGUUUUGACAAGUUUUUUGUGAAAUUGGUGACUAAUGUAUGCUGCCUCUUCAGAUUGUUGGCAAACAAAUUAUACUGAGUUGGUUGAUUCAAUUUGUAGAUGAGUGAAGGUUGGUGCCUCUCUGCUUCCUCUCCGUUUGUCCUCCUCUGCCUCCACUCGUCACCUGCCACGUCUCACCAACCACAGUGCACCCCCUGGCGUCUGCUUCAGCACCUCCACAAGUACAGCAGCACUACCUUCUCUCUCAUUGAGCCCUAACUCAACCCCUCCUCUGCUGCCGCUAACCUGCGCCCUCCACAGCCCGCACUUCGAAUCGUAACUGGUAUAAUCAGGUGCUCUAGGUGUACGCACGAGUUCAAUCUCCACCGUCUGGUCAUAAUCGAUGAGGCGACAGAGUUCUUCAAGACAGUUGGAGUCUCAGAUUUCACUUUUGAUAGUUGCAAAUUGGACCUACAUCGUUGCACCAGCUAUUGAAAUGACCAUGACAAUAUAGAGCUAAAGAAAAUGUUACUCAUUUGUAUGUUGUUGCUCUUAGGCUUUAUAUAUUCCUCAUCUGCUUUUUAACACUCUAUAUGUUGCAUUGUUUGCACUGGAUUCCUUUAUGAAUGGUUUCUUUGUGAAAUUAACCACAUCAUAUGAAAAUAGAGUGAAACAAAAAUAUCUUUCGCACCUUCUUAUGUGUCCGCACCAAGGUUCUAAAAAAUCUUAGGCGCUAGUCGGGCGGCAGGCUGGCGUUUGACGCCUAGGCGGCUAGGCGGGGUUAAGACGGGCGCUUGGGCUAAUUUAAGUAAAUUUCUUGUAUAUCUUGUAAAUAAGUGCAUAUUGACACUUACAAAAAAUUAUACUUGUAUGAAAUUCAUGUAUAAGAUAAUAAAAGAAUGAUAAAAUGUAAAAAAAUGUAUCCAACAAAUCCAAAAUUUAAAGACACAUUAAGCAUAUAUGUCAUAUAACCAUAGUAACGAGUAUUGUAGGAUAAACAUAUCGCUAAGCAAAGCAAAUUUCAAUUAAUUAUUGUAAAACAAAAAUUUGAGAUAAUUGAUUUUAUGUCAUACUUUAAUAAAAACGCCUAACAUAAAUAAACUAAAAGAAAGGAAAAACAUAAAAGAAACAAAUAAAUUAAAAUAAACAAAUAAUAAAACAAAAAGAAAAGAAGAAAAAGGAAAGGGCUCGCCUUGAUUUGAAUCAAGACCUGGAGCCAUGGGAAAGGCACAUAAAAAAGAACGAAAAAUAUGAUGGGCGCAGGGUUCGAACUAGAGAUCUGGUAACUUGUAAGGAUGCGCUGACCAACACUACCAAGUCCAUAUUGGUGUCAAUCUUAAGGAACAGCUACAAUGUAUGCUAAUUUAGCAGCAACAUGUUCAUUUUAAAAAAAAGAACCCUAGCAUUUGCGACACUCUCUGUGUCAGAACGUCCUUGUCAACAGACAUGGUAUGCACACGUGUCAUGCAUCCAUGUGGUGAACUUCUUAAGAUUCCAAAAUAAAGGCUUAGAUGUGCCCUCAUUUCUCUCAUUUCUGAUUGCUUUUUAGAAACCCUAGGCCUUUCUCUCUCUCUAGAAUAUGAGAAAUAUCUCUCAAUAAUAGCAGGACCCUCUCAUUUCACUCGGCCCUCUUCGAUUUCUCUCAAACCUCUCUUUAAGAUUAAAAAAAAAAAAAGCUCUCACUUCCCUAUAAUGAAAAACCCUAGCCGCUCCUCAUCUGUCGUUUUAGCUCCAAUGCUUGACCCUUCUAUCUCAUUUCACUACACCCACUCACCUUUAGCCCCUCACAAUAGUCAAUCUUGUCUGCAAAAACCAAAACCAGCAAGUCCUACCAUGGAAAUGGUGGCACAUUGAAGCUCCAAUCUUCCCACAGAGGGAUGGACUUGCUCUGAGCAACAAGUAACCAUCCAUGCCGGUAGUCAUACCUGCGUAAAAGUCAGAAUUGUAAAUCAAAUAUUCACCCAUAUAAUAUAUGUAUGGUAUAAAUAAAUAAUAUUAUAUAUAUAUAUAUAUAUCACGAAAACCAAAGCAUAUUGCAAAUCACAUUAAUGGCAUGUUUCAAAUAUCCAACAAAUAUCAAUUUAACUAUUUAAGUCAUAACCCAUUUGUUAUUUUUAAUUUGUUCUAGUGUACGAUAGAUUUUUGGAAGUCUUAAUCAAACAUUUUUUAUAUUAUUUACUUUUAACACUAAUAAUAUUUUAAAUUUAAAAAUUUACUAUUCACUUAUACUUUUAGUUUGUUCAUUUGAUUAAAAUUAAGGUUUUUUAGGACGUUUUAUUAGUUUUUCUUAGAUUUUUUUAGUGUGGUCGGAAUACAGAGUGAUACAUCACGUGUCUCCAUAUAAAUAGUAGGAUAUGUGCGUUAAAAAGUUAAUAACUUAAAAAAUAAAUUUUUUUAUUAUUUAUAUAAAAAUACGUAAUAUAUCAUUCGUGUUUCAAUUAAAAUAAAAAAUCUCUCCUAGUGCACCCACAAAACAAAUGGCCCAACCACACAAACAUACUUGAUUUCCAACAUAAGGGCUUUUCAGUCGCACUAUAAUGUUUCAUAUCGACGGCCACUGCCUUUGUAGUUUGUGAUGCGACUCGGAUGUUUUAGAUCAUUUUCAAAUAAGAUGUUAAAUUUUGAAUAUAAAUUUUAAAUUUUGACAACUUAUGUGGCACUUUGAUAUUUUUUAAAGUUUUGUUCUCCACCCGAUAUGUCAAAUUAAAUUAUUAUUUUAUUAUUUUAUAAAAUAAAUUAUUAAACUAAUUAAACCAAGCUAUGAGGCGUGAGCAGGCCAGUGUGGAACUUCAGCAGAGGUAGAGUGGGACUGCCGCCGCCGUUGUUGGUGCCCAAGCGCAAUGGUGAUAUUGGGUAUGCGUCGAAAGUGAGUUUCUUGGCAAGAGGCAAUCAGACCGCUUGUGGGGAUUGUUGCUGCUGUUCUAGCGCUUCAAUUUAUGAUCCCUACAGAUUAUGGAGUUGCAUCAUACAUUUUCAAUUGAGCUUUAAUGUGUUAAGAUAUUAUGCAUUGGCACAUGUGUUCAGCACAACGGUCACGCCUGCCUCAUGGGUUAAACCAAAAUAUGUUAUUUUUAUAUUUAACUUAAGUACCCUUUUAUACGUGGAGAGACUUAUGAAAAUGUAAAGUAUUAUUUCACAUAUAUC